GGAAUGGACAAGCUGAUGAGUCUAUCCAUGGAAUCUUUACUUGAAUCAAGUUGGGAUUCAAUCAUAGCGCCAGCUUGAGGUUGCAGCCAACUUGUAUAGUCCAAAAAAUUUGCCAUAUUUGCCGUUCCAACUUCCAAGGGGCCUGCUAUGAAGUAAAGCACGAUCCUCAAAAAGAGAAUAAGACAGCUUAUUCCUCGCCUUUUUACUUUGCUGUGCAGAAGUAAAGGUCCUCUCUUUCAAAAAAGAAAAAAAAAAGGAAAAAGAAAAAGAAAAUCUUUCCGUUCUCUUAAACUUCUUACCUUUUUACAAUGGGGUUUUCAUGGGGAUGAGUAAUGCUUCAUGAAAGGUUCAAUGCAUUUUAGAGCAUGGAGUGGAGGGUUUGUUAUCAAUCCAGUGGAAUAUUUGCCCUUAUGGGGUCUACAACCUUGUCUCCAUGGCUUGUGGUUGUUGGUGCUGAAAUGGGUAUGUGUAAUUUCAUUGAUCCAAUUCCGAAAAGAUAUGUUUCAUGAAUUUUCAUGAUGCUUCCGGUGCUGCAAAACCGUUUUUCAAUGGACAGUUGGUUGCUGGUGUCUCAGGGGUUGGCCCUCUGGAUUCUUCUAUCCCCUUCAUGAAAGCUGGAAUUUAUGGGUCUUCAUUAUUGGGAUAAUAUAUUUUUCAUGGACUAACAGUUUUUCGGAGAAUCCUCAAGGGCCAUGUACUUUGACCCAUCAAAUAUUCAUAAUGAUGUGCAAUGAAAAGCAUCUACUGGGUGUCUGUAGGACAUUUUGGAAAACGGGUUGGUGUUUUCAGUCUGGAUUAGUCUACAGUUCUCUGGUGAGGGGAAUGACAGAAAAACCCGCAAUGUGGAAUAAGGUGCAUUUUGUUAAUUCGGCAAAUAUGGUGGCUUCUGCCCUUAGAAUUGGUGAUGGGAACAAUGAUUCUUGUGAUUUCUACAGGGCAAGAAGGAAAUUGGAUUGUGCUUGGGUGUUCAAGCAAGGUGACUUUGACCUUGUGGUGAACAGUUAAAUUGCCUAGGAAUCCUUUCUAUUAACCUUUGCUCAGUUGUAAAAUAUCAAAUCAUUUAAUGCCUAUGAACCAUCAUUUAUGAGCACAUGUGGGGACAUUUUUUUCUUGAUGUCUUUUGCAAUUAUUAUCAGAUGCUCUUUGCAUUCAUGUAAUUUGUUAUUGGAAAUGAUAGAGAUGUUCCUAAAGACACCGGUAAUGUUGCAAGAAAUCUAUAGCCAACCUUCCAGCAAAAUCUAUUUUCUUACUAUCAAGGUUGUCCAUGUUUAGUACUUUACUAGAUACAAAUGGAAAUGGCAACAACUUCUUCAUCCUAAUAUCCUAUAAUUCUAGGAAUUAGUUGCUUCGACAAUCUUUGAUGGUCAUAUAAGUAUCCAAAGUAUGAAUAAGAUGGAAGUUUGUUGUCUCAACCAUUCUUCUCAAUCCUGAUUCGAAUAAAGAAACGGGCUUUUAAGGAAGUUUUUAAAUUGUUGGUUCCCAGGUCUAGGGCUUCUUUCCUUAUGUUGCCUAAUGGUAAUAGUGGGGUAGAAUUGAUGUCCAACCCAAAACCUGUAAGUAUAAUUUGCUCGAUUUGCUAGGUCAAAUCGGAGAGGCAUCCAUUUUGGUUUCCAUACUGUAUUGGUCCAUAUAACGCUUACUGAUCUUUUUAUUAGUACCAAAGACAGCAUCAUUGACUAUCACCAGGCCAGGGGGAAAUAACCGCACAAUUUGAAACUAAAAAAUUUCAUAUGAUUGGAUCAGGGUAUAAAAAAACUCACGUUAUUUAUAAAUCACUAUUUAUUUAACCUUAUAUGAUUGCCUCCUUGUAGAGCAAUCCGGUUGAAUCACUUCUCAGAAGUUGGAGAAAACUUGGGAGCUAUUAUGGUUCACAAGUAGCCAUAGUCGUAACUUUAAAUAUCUUAAACUUCUUGAUUUUAAAAGUGGAAGAUUCUAGCAUACUGAUCUAUCAAUUCAUAUUGCUUGGAGCAUCCAUGUAUUCUUCUUGUAUGAAUAUGUUAAUCCAGCAGAACCUUUGCAGCUUCAGACCUGACUGAUUUGGAUUUGGAUCUGUUCAAAUUGCAUGACCACCUGAACUGAAUUCCAAGGAUUGCAACUGGAUUUCAAUCCACAAGAAAGCCCAUUUAGACAAUCAAACCAGCUGAGCCAAGGAGGUCACUCUUGGUUUAUACCCUGCCCAGUUGCAUUUCACAUCAUGCAGUAUGGCUUUCACUGCCCUACCCUCCUAUGUUUCAAUCUUGUGAGAUGCUUGAGUUGAUUUGUGAUGAAAUUUUUUUCACAUGUUAACAUAUGAUAAGCCCUAUCUUGGAUGGUUUCAACACUUGGAAAUCUGAGACUGAGUCCACCAACUUUUGGAGUCUUAUCCAUCUAUCUAGUUUAAGUAAGAUCCAACUUUUUGUUGUUUCCAAACUGUGGCCAAAACAUCUGAUUUCUUGGGAAGAUGUUGAACUGCACAAGUACUUUUAUUUUACCAAACAUGUUAAAGCUCAAACCUUGCUAUAUUUAAGCUAUUGUUAUCAUAUGAUUUUUUGUCUUCCCCAAUGGCCCUUUAUUUGUGUGUCAAAAUGAAAUAGCCGAAUAAGGAACUGAGCUUAUUUUCACAGUUCGGCCCAAUCCUGGUCUUUGACGUUGUACUCAUUUGGGUAUUGCAGGCUGUAAACUGCAUUUUGUUUUUGUUUGCUUGGAAUUGUUUUCUCUUUUCAAAAAUUUCCUUAUAUCAGGCACUCAUAUAUGUAGCCUCAACCUUGUAAGUAGCUGCAAUUUUUUAAAUAAUGAUAAAUAUAGCUAAAAUAGCAACCCUUAGAAUCAAUUAGACAUGAACUAGGUUCUAUUGUUUUUGGACAUGCAUUUUUAUGACAUAAACUUGAUGUGUAUGGUGCCAUAUUUUUCUUUCACAUGAUUCUUUCUAAGUUGUACAUAACUUGGAUAACCUGGAGAAAGAAUUGACCAUCUGAACCAUCUAGUCCUUUGUAUUUUUCUUUAUUCCUCAUUGUACAUAUAAGAAGGUGCAUAACAUUGUCAUUGUGUUUUGUUGGCAAGUUAUAGAUCUAAGCUGUUCAAUUUCAAGUUCUUUUUAAUGCUGAAGAGAUAAUCAUGCUGCUGCUUGGGAUGUCUCUUCCGUGGGGUAAGGAAAAAUGUUGUUCACUCCACUUAUAGCAACACAGCUCAGGUGGUGUCACCUGAUAAUGCCUCAUAGCUGGGGGCUUUGCUCUCGGCUCUGGCUUAGAUGGUUAAACAAGUGAAAGGGCUCCAUUGUAGCACAAACUACUCUAUAAUACCUUUUCAUCUUCAUUUUGUAUUUUAAUGUUUCUUUCUUCUUAUUUCAUGAAUCCAUGUACUACAUUGUAAAAGGGUGAGAAGUUGUGAGUAACCCAAUACAAAAAAAGGGGGUUGGGGGAGGAUUUGUGGGAGAUUCCUAGUUCAAGUCGAACAAAAUUUACCCAUUGAAAAAAGAAAAAAAAACCUGUACGAAAGGAAAUAAAAAAAAAUAAAAAAAUAAAAAAAUGAUGAGAAGUCUAUACAACAUCAUGUGGCAUUCUUGUCUACCAUUAAUCUUAAAGCAAAAGUUGACCUCAUCACCCAUCAAUUUCAGAACUGUUCUUAAUGCACUUUGUUUUAUUAAGCUUUUUGAGUUAAGCAUUUUUUAUUGUAAGUCAUUUUCCUUAUUAGAGUCAUUUGUAUUCUUUUGAAAACAUUUUUCUUAAAAUCUUUUUUAGAUUGGCAUUAAAAAGAAAGUGAUUUAAACCAUUGAACUGGUACAAAAACUAAAGGAUUGUGAAAAUUUAAAAUUUUAAUGAAGCAAAGGAUGAAAAUGUUAAAAUAAUUCAUUGAAUACUUUGACAGUUUUAGUGGAAAGAUGACUUUAAAAAUUGGAACAGAACCUGAUAUCAGAUGUUACUGUCUGAAAACUAUUUCUCUUUAAACUAGAAUAGACCAAUGUGCAUGUGCAAUUUAAUGGGGCAUAGCUUGGGAUGGCAAAUCAGUAAGUUGAAAAUUGGUUCUUAAGGAAGCCUGUAUUCUUUGAUAAAGAGGGAUAGUAGAUAGUCCUUGUGACUCCAUUGAUGCGCUAUAAAGCCUGAGAAGCUUGAAAUAGGUUGAAACAUAUCUGAGAAACAAUUAACAUGGUCAAGAUUGACAUAGAGGCUGAAUGUUUGAGCUGAAUUCCCAAAGAGAGCAUCUAACAGAGGAAACGGAGGGUGCCCUGCCAAAAGAAUUUGGAAUGAGUAUCCUGAAUGGAGUAUCUCCAAGAACUAAGGAGCUGGGGCAAGGUUAUGCUCUUUCUAAUGAUUUCCUAUAUUGAUAUUUUCUGUAAGUAGAGUACUUUUUUUUGUGAUGCAGAUAAUAUAUUGUUAAUUGUCUUUUACUGUGAAAAAGAGAGCCAUUAUUGGAAUUAGAAAUAGAUUCUCACAUUCUCCCUAAGUUAUCUAAACAAGCCUUGCUUUAUUAUCCCCUGUAAUCCACUUAUGCCAGUAAUUUUAUUCUUUAAGGAGCCUCUUUACUUUAUAUAGAAUUAUCCUUCAGUGAUUUGCCAUUAGAUCUGGAUAAAUCUAGUAAAGGGAUGGGAUUUCAUCUUGUCUUUCUCACAGAAAUUGGUAAGCAAGGAAAACUCUUUGUUCAAAAGGACUUUUGUGCAUUCUUAUCUUGUUUCUAUUGCUUCCCAAGUUAAGAGGGAAAACAGUAGAAGUGUUCUUUACAGGUAUGGAGAUGGAAACUGCCAGGAAGAGGCUCCUAACAUAGAUCAGUAAUUGAUCUUAUAUUUUCUAUGUACAUUUCAUUUUGUGAGAGGAUAGACUGCAUGAUUUAAAAAACUUCCUCCGGGAGUACCUUAAAAGAUGAAAGCUACUCUGAAGAGUAUAUAUUUUACGGUCGUGAGGGGGGUGGAAAUGUUCUAAUCCUCAUCUCAAAGCAUAAACUGUACAAUGAUCAAUGAUUAGUUUUAUUACCUGUUUUCUGAGGGUAUUUGGUUUUUCUUUUUCAUACUUCUCACACCAGGUACGACUUACUUUUUAAACAAGAAGGAUAAUUUACAACUGAAUUUUAAUAAGAGACCUGGAUCUUGAGGGAGCAAUUUUGAUAAGAUCAUAGUUCUUGUUAACUGCAUGGAGUAUCCUAUUGUUGCUCGGUGGCUUCCAAUCAUUGUGAAAUGCAUACAUGAAUCACUGUGACAAAUUAAUGAACUUUUCAUAAAUAUGUACAGUUAAGGGCAUGAGGCCACCAUCAUGGGAAUCUGGACCAUAUACAACUCUAUGCAGGACAAACUCAAGUUGGUAUGUCAGCAUACUAGCCGCCCAUAUUUCAUUGACCGUUGGAUUGUGAUAUGAUUUUCAUGGGGCAAUCUUUGAUCCUUGGCCCCGAUGCUUGAGUUCUCAGGGAAGUUAAAAUGGACCUUUUCCUUGUUGUCUGCUUCACAAACAGCGGGAGCUACUGCUAUAAAAAAAAGCAACACUAGAGUCAGCCAUGUGCUUAAGCAAGAUAUUAGAUAUUCCUGGUCUCUGGCAAAUGUGGAGAAAUCUGAGUACAGGACCCGGAUCCAUUUCACCUGUUCAAAAUGGAGAAGAGAAUCCUUCAUCAGAAUUCAGAAGGCUUUCAUGCAGGAUAUUUAUCCACAACUCACCACCAGAGACGUCCACAUAUGGAAAAUUUCCUGUGUAAACCUGCAUUUCAGUGCCUUGGAGUGAUUCCAUGUUGAUCACAACUCCUUGGUGAGCUUGUGCUUGGCCUUGGAGUGAGUGGCCAUGGCCUCUAGCUGCAACUGUGAGCUCUGAACCAGGACCCAUUCUCCAAACAUGCUUUAUGGUCGUGGCAAUAUCAGAAACUGACUUUGGAUGCAAGACUGCCUGAGGAAGGAACUGGUACCGGUUCCCAAAGUCUCUGGCUGCAUGCUCAAUUCCAUGGAAACUGAAAUGCCCGUCAACAGAAAGUGUUUCCAAUGAAGAAGGGAUGAUGGGAAGACAGAGGCUGAUGUUAGCGGUUAAACAGCCCAAGAACAAGAUGACAAAGCUCGCUAUGAAACGAAUGCUACUUGGCCUGAGGAAACUAAUAGGUGGGUAUCUCAUUUUUUUCUUGAGAAAAGAUGGGAGAAGCCAAAGACAGAAGCCCCUCAACAUUGUAUUUGUUUCUAUGUGAGAAAAGAAAAAAGAGAGGUGUAGAAGAGCCAAGGAAAUGAAGGGCUGAGGAGGGAAUUUAAAGGUGAAGAUUUGGGUGGCAGAGUCAACCUAUCCCCAGUGGUGAGCAUCCGUAUGAAGACUGCCUACUUGGGUGGGAGAGUUUUAGGAUUUUCUUUUUAUUUCUCCUUUUUGGGCUCUUUUGUUUAAGAGAGAAGCCAUCACAUAUGCCAAGUUGAAGAGAAAAGUCACAGAAAGAAAGAUUUCACAAAUCUUGCACUUUUUUUAACAGUUGCAACCACAUUGUCACCUUUUCCAUCAAGGACAAACAUGUCUCAAAUUGUUUCUCAUUAACCCUGCUUAAGGAUACCUUUGCCAUUUCUACAAAAGGUUAUGGCCUUGCUGGGACGUGCCUUCGUCUGCCUUCAGUGACAGGCUUGGCCAUAGAAGUGUCUUUCUCACAUGAAUGAUGAAGUUUUUUCUUGAAUUCAUUGCUUGUCCAAAGUAAACAAGGCGUAUCUUCUUUCAGAUCGGAUGAGAGGGACUAGUGGGGAUGGCUAGAUUUAUUUGAGAAAGGGAGAGAUGGGCUAGCAGGAUUUGUAUGGACCCAUGGGACAAGUGAAUUUCAAAUGGGUAUGUGCUUUGUUGGGGAAAGGGCUAUGAUUGGUAUAGUUGGACCCGUUUCCCCAGUGUGAUCGGUUAAUCACAGGGGUCGAAUUUGGGAUGACAGCUUAGAGGAAACACCGAAAGACUACCCUUUGCCUAUCUGCUGCAAUGUCUUUGAUGCCUCAGUUCCCAGCCAUGGGACAAGCCUAAAGAUUCUCCUGCUCAUGUUUUGUGUGCAAAGAAAUCACUUCAUUUCAAUUAUUGUUUCUUUGCCGUGUCUUACUUGUUCUUAGUGACCAUAAUGUGACCUUAAUUUGCAGGCCUCACCAUGUGUAUAUUAUGUGCAAAUAUACCCGUCUUGCACUCCUUUUUUUCAUUGUGUACUUGAAAGUAUAUUGUUAUAUACCCCAUAGCUUCCUUUGCUCUUGAAACACUCCA